AGGAUUAACGCUGGCGGCGUGCCUAACACAUGCAAGUCGAACGAGGUAGCAAUACCUAGUGGCAGACGGGUGAGUAGCGCGUGGUCAACCUACCGUUGAGUGGGGGAUAACUAGCCGAAAGGUUAGCUAAUACCGCAUACGUCUCCGAGGGGCAUCCCUUGGCGAUAAAAAGGAGCAAUCCGCUCGAUGACGGGACCGCGUCCCAUUAGCUAGUUGGUGGGGUAACGGCCUACCAAGGCAUCGAUGGGUAGCUGGUUUGAGAGAGCGACCAGCCACACUGGGACUGAGAUACGGCCCAGACUCCUACGGGAGGCAGCAGUGAGGAAUUUUCCGCAAUGGGCGAAAGCCUGACGGAGCGACGCCGCGUGUGGGAAGAAGGCCUUCGGGUCGUAAACCACUGUCGAAGGGGAAGAUAAUGACGGUACCUUUGGAGGAAGCCCCGGCUAACUACGUGCCAGUAGCCGC
rnacentral:rRNA from 1 species